AACAAGAAAAUGGCUUGCGAGUACUGAGCAACGGUGUUGGACCAGGCAGAGCCCCUGCAGAGGAAGUGAGAAAGCAGAUGCUCGGUGUUCCCUUGCCAUUGCCAGGUGCCACAUUGUCCCCUCCAUGGGACACAGGUGCAACUCACGUGAUGCCGAAGUGGAACACGUAGAGGAAGAUGCAGUUUGCAGCCACGUUGACGAUGUUGCCGAUGACUCCACUCAGCACCAGCGGCCACAUGAUCAUCUGCAAAGAAGAGGGGAUGGGGCUACGGUGUCUUCACAAAGGCUCUGGGAGGGAGGUGUGAAGGUCCCCGCCAGCACCCGGGCUCAGCGCCUUUCCCAGGCAAAAAAUAAACUUCCAGUGACGUUGCCUGCUUGGAAAACGAAUGUGUUGGAGCGUCGGCGGGGCAGAGGGGAGCUCGUGCCUGGCUCUGGGAAUGCUUACAGCAAUGGCCAGCGUGACGGAGGCCAGCUCAACCUUGCCCAGGUGGCCACAGAAUAUGGAGCUAACGAGGUGUAUCAGGAAGAUCAGCAGCUGGAUCAGGAUCUAAGCACAGAGGAGAGGAGAGGAGAGGCGAAGCUCCCGGGUGUGAGAUUGUCCUGGCCAGCGGCAGCUGCCUCACUGUUCUCCUCGGGGAGGUUCUCUGUCUUUGUGCUGCCAUUCUCCUCAGGAAGGUUCUCCGGCUUCAUGCUGCUGCUCUGCCAGGGGAGUGGAACAACCCCUCCCUCCGCGCUCUGUUAAACCACGGUGGGCCCACAGGUAACCAGCACCCCGAGCCAGGGUGACAGGGAGGUGCCAUUCAUCUGCUCUGCACGGGAUUUACCUCCAAGGGCCCAGCAUGUGCCACGUCUCAGUCACUCAGCUG